CGAACGCUGGCGGCGUGCUUAACACAUGCAAGUCGAACGCGAAAGGGACUUCGGUCCUGAGUAAAGUGGCGCACGGGUGUGUAACGCGUAGAUAACCUGUCUUCAUGUCUGGAAUAAUACGCCAAAGGGGUACUAAUACCGGAUAUUCUUGCUUUUCAUAAGUUAUGCAAGCAAAGGUGGCCUCUGCAUAUGCUACUGCAUGAAGAGGGGUCUGCGUACCAUUAGCUAGUAGGUGGGGUAAUGGCCUACCUAGGCGACGAUGGUUAGCGGGUCUGAGAGGAUGAUCCGCCACACUGGCACUGGAACACGGGCCAGACUCCUACGGGAGGCAGCAGUGAGGAAUAUUGCGCAAUGGGGGAAACCCUGACGCAGCGACGCCGCGUGAGUGAAGGAAGGCCUUCGGGUCGUAAAGCUCUGUCAAGAGGAAAGAAGUGUACAAUGGCUAAUACCUGUUGUAUUUGACGGUACCUCUAAAGGAAGCACCGGCUAACUCCGUGCCAGCAGCCGC
rnacentral:rRNA from 1 species